GGGCCGAUGGUUUAGUGGUAUAACGCUUGCUUGACGUGCAAGAGGUCGGGAGUUCAAUCCUCCCUCGGCCCA
rnacentral:tRNA from 1 species